rnacentral:rRNA from 1 species
GAUGAACGCUAGCGGCAGGCCUAACACAUGCAAGUCGAGGGGCAGCACGUUAAGUUAGCAAUAACUUAUGGUGGCGACCGGCGGCCGGGUGCGUAACGCGUAUGUAACCUACCUUUAAUUGGGGGAUAAUUCGGAGCAAUCUGGUCUAAUCCCCCAUACCAUCCCGGGAGGCAUCUCCUGGGGUUAAGAAUUCAUGUGAUUAGAGAUGGACAUGCGUAACAUUAGGUAGUUGGUGAGGUAACGGCUCACCAAGACUACGAUGUUUAGGGGGACUGAGAGGUUAACCCCCCACACUGGAACUGAGACACGGUCCGGACUCCUACGGGAGGCAGCAGUGAGGAAUAUUGGUCAAUGGGGGCAACCCUGAACCAGCCAUGCCGCGUGCAGGAAGACGGCUCUAUGAGUUGUAAACUGCUUUUGUACGAGGGUAAAGUGGGGUACGUGUACCCUUUUGAAAGUAUCGUACGAAUAAGGAUCGGCUAACUCCGUGCCAGCAGCCGCCGUAA